CGCGUGCCGAAUGCAGGAGCAGCAAGUGAGGUACGGCAAGCGGGCAGGUGGGCGAGCGCUGGGCCAGGAGCCCCUGGGAGCCCCAGGGUGCUGAGCCCCAGGGACACUGCCAGGGCCGAGUGGGUGAGGAAGCCCAGAGGGUGCAGCCCCCCAGCCCCUGCUGCACCCC